CCGGAUGGGACCCUCCAGAAGCCCUGAUGGGGCAAGCCUUCCAGAAGACAGAAGACAUGUGAAACGAGCUGUUACAAAAGGACGCUAAGGGUUUUUCUACUGCCCCUCCUAUCUCCUGUCAUAGAUUCAGUUUUCCAGGAAGUCAGCAUACAGUGAGCCAACAGCUAUCCUGUCUCCUCUGAGAAAAAGCAAAUUGGUUUCCAUCGCUACCUGGCCCGCAGAAUCAGUUUACAGGAUGGUUUGCCAUUUCUGCUAAAAGGGGACUCCAUACUGUAAACUGGGGCUUCUGUGGUGACUCAGACGGUAAAGAAUCUACCUGCAAUGCAGGAGACCUGGGUUCGAUCCCUGGGUCAGGAACAUCCCCUGGAGAAGGGAAUGGCAACCCGCUCUAGUAUUUUUGCCUGGAGAAUCCCACGGACAGAGGAACCUGAUGGGCUACAGUCCAUGGGGUUGCAAAGAAUCAGACGUGACUGAGGGACUAGC